ACAGUUUUAUUAUUAUAUCAACAUUUUGUUCGUAUUUCCAUUUCAAUCACCCUGUUUAUAACUUUUCUAUUCUGUGGUAGUCACCUUUUGUAACCUUCACAUUCGUUUAUUUCCGUACCUGCCCGUUUUAAUGUUGUAUAUUUCUGUUAUUGGUCUAAAAGCCAAUUUCCGCUUUAGAUAACCUAUGUAAUUUGAUACCGUAACCAUAUAUGGUAUUGUAAGCUUCGAUUGACCGCGUUAUUGGUCGGAGCAAAACAUCGUUGUUUCAUUGGGGCCGGAAAUGGAAAAAUUCAGCGUGUUUUACUUGCUAACCCGAAGAGAACGGUCGUGCGGUUCAUCCUGAUUUAAGUGCUAAUUUAGUUCCUGUUCAUUUGUUUUCAACAAUUUGGCGAAAGCAUCUUUAAAAACAAGUGAACCAUCAUUGUACCUGCCAUUUCUUUUUGGCAUGGUAACCAUUUAAUCCGAAAGGAGUUCUUCUAAAGGAACGUAAGCAUAAUUGGGACCAUUCUGACAACGAUCGUAGGAUAACUUCCAUUCACUUUCGUACGUUCACGAAGCUCUUUUAUUUUCCGUUGACUCUCUCCAUGUAGAGAGUUCACGUAUUGGGGUCAAGAACUACGAUCCGACUGUUUACCUGUGAAACGAAACUAUAGACCACAUUGUGUGCGG